rnacentral:rRNA from 1 species
CCUACGGGUGGCAGCAGUGGGGAAUAUUGGGCAAUGGAGGCAACUCUGACCCAGCAACGCCGCGUGAGCGAUGAAGGUCCUCGGAUUGUAAAGCUCUGUUGCAGGGGACGAAGAAUGACGGUACCCUGUCAGAAAGCCUCGGCACACUAAGUGCCAGCAGCCGCGGUAAUACGGAGGGGGCUAGCGUUGUCCGGAAUUACUGGGCUUAAAGGGAGUGUAGACGGCUUGUCAAGUUAAGUGUGAAAGCCUGCGGCUUAACCGCAGAAUUGCACUUAAAACUGGCUCGCUAGAGUGCAGGAGAGGUGGGUGGAAUUCGUGGUGUAGCGGUGGAAUGCGUAGAUAUUAGGAAGAACACCGGAGGCGAAGGCGGCUCACUGGACUGUAACUGACGUUGAGGCUCGAAAGCGUGGGGAUCAAACAGGAUUAGAUACCCUUGUAGUC